rnacentral:rRNA from 1 species
UACGGGGGGAGCAAGCGUUGUUCGGAUUUACUGGGCGUAAAGGGCGCGUAGGCGGUCAGCACAAGUCAAUUGUGAAAUCUCCGGGCUUAACUCGGAAAGGUCAACUGAUACUGCGGGGCUAGAGUGCGGAAGGGGCAACUGGAAUUCUCGGUGUAGCGGUGAAAUGCGUAGAUAUCGAGAGGAACACCUGCGGCGAAGGCGGGUUGCUGGGCCGACACUGACGCUGAGGCGCGAAAGCCAGGGGAGCGAACGGG